CUUCUUCUUCUUGUUUUCUUUCUUUCUUCUUCUCUUUCUUCUUGAUUUCUUUCUUUUUUUUUCUUCUUCUUGUUUUCUUGAGGAAGAAGGUGAUGGAAAAUUGUUAAUUUUUCGAUUUUUUACAUUGUAAAGAGGAAAUGACGAUGACCCACAAUAGGUGUUCGUCAGUUUCGAGUGCGGUGACGAAGAGACAAGCAAUGGUGGCGGAUUCAUCGGGGUUGGAGAAUAAUCAGGCCGGAAAUUUCUAAUAUCUCGAAUUUAUACAACUGUAUCUGCUCGUAAUGGGAUUUCUCAUUCCUCCAAACUUGCAGGUACAUGCAUUUGUCGCUCCCAAAAUUAUAGGUGGGAAAAAUGCUCUGUCUCCAGUUGGGGAACUUGGAAUGGUAGAGAUGACCCAGGUUCUGGAACUAAAUUGAUGUUUGCUAUGAGCAGACUUUCUUUUCAGGAUGUCAAAUUCCCAGAGUCAAUUUAUUCCUAGCAUUCACUCAGGUGGCUUUGCUGAUACUGGCCCACGUAGUUCAUGGAAGAUGAAAAUAUAAGGAUAGAUGAUCUGCACAUCUUGGCUCACUCAUGAAGUUUCCGAAGCCCAGUGCUUUCUAUGGGGUAGCUGCUAGAGGCCUUAUUUGUCCCUGUGCAUUUUCAAAGGCAAAGCUUUUCUAACAUAUAGUUUUAUAGAUAUUUGAUGGUCAUGGAGGACCAGAGGCUGCAGACACCAAGUUUACGGAGACUUCAGAAGUUUAUGAUGCAUUUCUAGAAGGGGUGGACCUACUUUAGCCGAUGACUGUAAUGUUAGCAGCUCUUGUGUUAGGAAGGCUAUUAAUGCAUGAGACUGCCGAGCUGUACUUGGAGAGGCAAUUGACAUGUCUCAAGACCAUUAGAUUAAAUUAUCCAUCAGAGAGGUGACAUUUUCUUUUACAUUUUUGAUUCCAUUUGAUGGGAAAGUUAAUGAGAAGGCAAUGAUUCUUCCACUUAAUUAAAGUUUUCUCUUCACUUUAUUGAACCAUACAUUGAGUUAGAUCUAAUUUGUGAAGAGGGAAGCCAGGAUAUUAUAAAUUGGCCCAUAUACCUAAAAUUUCAUGAGACUCAAAAUUGACCAAUGCCAAUUAAGCCCAUACAAUUGCACUGACCGUUACAGCUUGGAAAGUGAUUCUCUCCCUUGUAUCUAAAUAAAAAUAGCCCCCGCCAACAAUUUAUGUAACACUUUUUAGACUCUGAGAUUCAAACAAAUCUAUUUUUUGA